UACGAGGGGGGCGAGCGUUGUUCGGAAUUAUUGGGCGUAAAGGGUGCGUAGGCGGUUUGGUAAGUCUCUUGUGAAAUCUAUGGGCUCAACUCAUAGUCUGCAAGGGAAACUGCCGGGCUUGAGUGUGGGAGAGGUGAGUGGAAUUUCCGGUGUAGCGGUGAAAUGCGCAGAUAUCGGGAAGAACACCCGUGGCGAAGGCGGCUCUCUGGGACGGUACUGACGCUGAGACGCGAAAGCGUGGGGAGCGAACAGG
rnacentral:rRNA from 1 species